rnacentral:misc_RNA from 1 species
AAAUUAGUUUUUCAAAUGGCGGGGAGAGGUUCAUACAAACAAUAAUAUUUAUUUAUAUACUGUAUUUAAAACACUCGGUGAAAGAGAUAUACUGCACUUUGUUACAAUGGAAGAGGUUGCCCAGGUUUCCCCUCUCAAGAAAGUUCCAUCCAAAUGUAAACGUGGACUAGCAGCAAGACUUGCAGCCAAAAAAGAAAAAGUGAGUGAAGAGAAUGAUUCGUCAGAGAUCAGCGAGGAGUCGGCUGUUUAUUCCACACAGGUGGCACGAAUGCUUAGCAAACGAGGACUUCCUGAUGCGAAUCAGCUUCAGUUGUUAAGUGAUGACAGCGAUGAAAAUGAUGAAAUUAUUCCUAGCAAGAAAUGUAAAGCCAAGAAAAAUUCAGAGAAAGGGAUGAGUCCAAAAAUCAGCAUUCUCCUCUCUGAUGAUGAAGAAGAGAAUAUAUCGGAGAAUAUAUCAUGGUUAGUUUUCCUCCAUUGCACAGUUUCAACUUUUUUUAUUUACUAUUAAACUUUUCUACUAGCUGAUAUCAGCUAGUUUCUUAAGUUUUUAGAGAAAUUAGUUUGUAAAUGCUCUAAAACGUAUACAAUGUAUUUUAGAAAAUUGUUGGUUUUAGGUUCAUAUUUUAGCUGAUUAAGGAUACGAUAUAUGAAGUACAUAUAGUGGGUUUCAUCAUUAAGGAACCAAAUUAUGUAUAUCAAGAAUUUAAUAUUCAUUGAUUUCGCUCAACGAAACAGAGCUGAUCACAUUAAAUAUUGAUUUCAUUACAUUCAUCAUAUUGGCUUGUACUAUAGCACAUCAACAGAAAAAAAAUUCUCCCCUGCUGACGAUCAGAAGUCACCUUCCCCACCACCUCCCCCGGAUCCCCCCCUAGACGUCCCUGUCCACCCCAAACGACCGCGCAUGUCAAAGGCCAUAAAACAGCUGUCGGACGCUAAAUCUUACCUCCAGAGGGAGCUGUCCAUGCUAAACACUUCCUGUACGGAUGUGGAUGAUGUGAUAUGUCUGGAUGACUCCCUGGAUGAAAAAUCCAUAUUUUUCUUUGUGCAAUGUAAUGCUGAGUUACAAAAACAUAGGCUGGGGAAGUGGGACCCCUUUAAGAAGUUGUUCGACACCAUUGCUGAACAACAGAAAAUAUCUUUUGGGGAUAUCAUGUUAUCACUGAAUGACGUGACUAUUCGGCCCUCAGACACACCACAUUCAGUCAACCUCAAGUCUGCAGACACAAUAGUGAUGUACAAAAACUCGGGAAAAGUCUUUGGUGAUGAGGAUAGCUCAGAUUUAUCAGGGAUUCAGCUGGUUGUUCAAAGUCGAAAUUCUAAGAAGAAACUUGAGUUUCAUAUAGAUCCGAUGGCUCCUCUUCAGUUGCUUAUCAACAAAUACAGCAUACAGACAAAGACCGACCCCUCCCACUACCGCCUGCAGUUCGAUGGGGAAGAUGUCUUACCACAGGAUACCCCGGCAGAUUUGGAGCUCGAAGAUGGCUUUUGUCUGGACAUUAUAGAAACCACCUAAUAACAUAGUCAGCUCUCUGGUCAAGAAUUAUUACUCUGUGAAAGAAAUUAACUCUCUCUGGUCCGUUUUCUAUUGUGACCACCAUUCGUCAAAAUGUUUUAUUCCAUUACAUGAUGUGCCAAAAAAUACAUAUACAUUGAUAUAAGACUUUUGUUACGUGAAAAAACUUGUUUCUAAUUGUUCCGUCACUUCAAACUUACCACACCACUGGGAAUUUCAGCUUUACAAGUUUAUAUGUAGAUACCUAAUAUUUUGCUAUUUUAUAGUGUACAUGUAUACUUAUGUUUGUAGUUCCCUUAUAAUGUGUAUUAUGUUUCUCUUAGAAUAGAUACAUUUCAAUGUUAAAGCCAUUGGGCAUUACAAUAAGUGUAUUGAGUAAAACAGUUUGUAUAUUUCAGUUGCUUCAAACAUGCAUCAAGUUUCAACCUUCUGCAAAGGAAACCUUCCUGUCUCUGUGAAAACACUUACAGUAUACGAUAUACAGUUAGUGUACUUGUGUAAAUGCCACUUACAUGUUCUUGUACCUUACAAAAUUACCAUUUCCAUGGUACUUUGUAUCUUGAAGUUUUAAUAAUAUGAAUUUGUU